GGGGCUAUAGCUCAGCUGGGAGAGCGCUUGCAUGGCAUGCAAGAGGUCAGCGGUUCGAUCCCGCUUAGCUCCAUUC
rnacentral:tRNA from 2 species